CGACUCCCCACGCGCCUGCGCAGUCCCGGAGGGCAGCAUCUGAGAGAAACUGUAUACCAAGAGCCGUAUACUCCAGCUGAUGCCAACAUCACAGGCAGAGAGAGCACCUGUCUUGAUUUCUGUUUUCUUCAUGAACUGGUCACAGAGAAUGCCCCAUGAGGCCACAGACAUAAACUGACGGCCUGAAGUCAGAACGCUAGGAGUGGGAAAAAAAUACAUGGCAAGAAAAGUGCAAACAUUUUAUUCAGAAAUGUCUAACCCAGCACAGAACAUUAUUGGAACAACUUGCAAAAUUUAAACAAGGACUAUACGGUAAAA